UGGCGAACGGGUGAGUAACACGUGGGCAACCUGCCCAAAAGAGGGGGAUAACACUUGGAACAGGUGCUAAUACCGCAUAACCAUAGUUACCGCAUGGUAACUAUGUAAAAGGUGGCUAUGCUACCGCUUUUGGAUGGGCCCGCGGCGCAUUAGCUAGUUGGUGGGGUAAAGGCUUACCAAGGCAAUGAUGCGUAGCCGAACUGAGAGGUUGAUCGGCCACAUUGGGACUGAGACACGGCCCAAACUCCUACGGGAGGCAGCAG
rnacentral:rRNA from 1 species